rnacentral:rRNA from 1 species
GAUGAACGCUGGCGGCGUGCCUAAUACAUGCAAGUCGAGCGAACAGACGAGGAGCUUGCUCCUCUGACGUUAGCGGCGGACGGGUGAGUAACACGUGGAUAACCUACCUAUAAGACUGGGAUAACUUCGGGAAACCGGAGCUAAUACCGGAUAAUAUAUUGAACCGCAUGGUUCAAUAGUGAAAGACGGUUUUGCUGUCACUUAUAGAUGGAUCCGCGCCGCAUUAGCUAGUUGGUAGGGUAACGGCUUACCAAGGCAACGAUGCGUAGCCGACCUGAGAGAGGGAUCGGCCACCCUGGAACUGAAACACGGUCCAGACUCCUACGGGAGGCAGCAGUAGGGAAUCGUACGCAAUGGGCGAAAGCCUGACGGAGCAACGCCGCGUGAGUGAUGAAGGUCUUCGGAUCGUAAAACUCUGUUAUUAGGGAAGAACAAAUGUGUAAGUAACUAUGCACGUCUUGACGGUACCUAAUCAGAAAGCCACGGCUAACUACGUG